UUCUACUCAGUGGUGCUGUCUCCUCUCAUU
rnacentral:piRNA from 1 species